rnacentral:rRNA from 1 species
GAACGCUGGCGGAACGCUUUACACAUGCAAGUCGAACGGUAACGCGGAGAGAAGCUUGCUUCUCUCCGGCGACGAGUGGCGAACGGGUGAGUAAUACAUCGGAACGUGUCCGCUCGUGGGGGACAACCAGCCGAAAGGUUGGCUAAUACCGCAUGAGUUCUACGGAAGAAAGAGGGGGACCCGCAAGGGCCUCUCGCGAGCGGAGCGACCGAUGACUGAUUAGCCGGUUGGUGAGGUAACGGCUCACCAAAGCAACGAUCAGUAGCUGGUCUGAGAGGACGACCAGCCACACUGGGACUGAGACACGGCCCAGACUCCUACGGGAGGCAGCAGUGGGGAAUUUUGGACAAUGGGCGCAAGCCUGAUCCAGCUAUUCCGCGUGUGGGAUGAAGGCCCUCGGGUUGUAAACCACUUUUGUAGAGAACGAAAAGACACCUUCGAAUAAAGGGUGUUGCUGACGGUACUCUAAGAAUAAGCACCGGCUAACUACGUGCCAGCAGCCGCGGUAAUACGUAGGGUGCGAGCGUUAAUCGGAAUUACUGGGCGUAAAGGGUGCGCAGGCGGUUGAGUAAGACAGAUGUGAAAUCCCCGAGCUUAACUCGGGAAUGGCAUAUGUGACUGCUCGACUAGAGUGUGUCAGAGGGAGGUGGAAUUCCACGUGUAGCAGUGAAAUGCGUAGAUAUGUGGAAGAACACCGAUGGCGAAGGCAGCCUCCUGGGACAUAACUGACGCUCAGGCACGAAAGCGUGGGGAGCAAACAGGAUUAGAUACCCUGGUAGUCCACGCCUUAAACGAUGUUAAUUAGUUGUUGGGAAGUAAAAUUGUCUGUAACGCAGCCAACGCGAGAAGUUAACCGCCUGGGAAGUACGGUCGCAAGACUAAAACUCAAAGGAAUUGACGGGGACCCGCACAAGCGGUGGAUGAUGUGGAUUAAUUAGAUGCAACGCGAAAAACCUUACCUACCCUUGACAUGUCAGGAAGCUUUUGUAAUGAGAGUGUGCCCGCAAGGGAGCCUGAACACAGGUGCUGCAUGGCUGUAGUCAGCUCGUGUCGUGAGAUGUUGGGUUAAGUCCCGCAACGAGCGCAACCUUUGUCAUUAGUUGGUAUGAAAGGGCACUGUAGUGAGACUGCCGGUGACAAACCGGAGGAAGGUGGGGAUGACGUCAAGUCCUCAUGGCCCUUAUGGGUAGGGCUUCACACGUCAUACAAUGGUCGGAACAGAGGGCAGCGAAGUCGUGAGACGGAGCCAAUCCCAGAAAACCGAUCGUAGUCCGGAUUGCAGUCUGCAACUCGACUGCAUGAAGUCGGAAUCGGUAGUAAUCGCGGAUCAGCAUGCCGCGGUGAAUACGUUCCCGGGUCUUGUACACACCGCCCGUCAAACAAUGGGAGUGGUGUUUACCAGAAGUCGUUAGCCUAACCGCAAGGAGGGCGGCGACCUCGGUGAGCACCGUGACUA